rnacentral:rRNA from 1 species
UACGUAGGGUGCGAGCGUUGUCCGGAAUUACUGGGCGUAAAGAGCUCGUAGGUGGUUUGUCGCGUUGUCCGUGAAAACUCACAACUCAAUUGUGGGCGUGCGGGCGAUACGGGCAGACUGGAGUACUGCAGGGGAGACUGGAAUUCCUGGUGUAGCGGUGGAACGCGCAGAUAUCAGGAGGAACACCGGUGGCGAAGGCGGGUCUCUGGGCAGUAACUGACGCUGAGGAGCGAAAGCGUGGGGAGCGAACAGG